rnacentral:rRNA from 1 species
UGGGGAAUCUUGCACAAUGAGCGAAAGCUUGAUGCAGCUAUGCCGCGUGUAUGAAGAAGGCCUUAGGGUUGUAAAGUACUUUCAGUAGAGAAGAAGGAGUAAAAGAUAAUACCUUUUAUUUUUGACGUUAUUUACAAAAGAAGCACCGGCUAACUCCGUGCCAGCAGCCGCGGUAAUACGGAGGGUGCUAGCGUUAAUCAGAAUUACUGGGCGUAAAGAGCACGUAGGUGGUUUUUUAAGUCAGAUGUGAAAUACCUAGGCUUAACCUAGGAACUGCAUUUGAAACUAAAAAACUAGAGUUUCAUAGAGGGAGGUAGAAUUCUAGGUGUAGCGGUGAAAUGCGUAGAUAUCUGGAGGAAUACCUGUGGCGAAAGCGGCCUCCUAAGUGAUAACUGACACUGAGGUGCGAAAGCAUGGGGAGCAAACAG